UGCUCCCCAGCAGGCAGGGGUGGGAGGAGCAUGAUUGGCACCUCCACCCACAGGCAAGGGACUGAACAGACUCCAUACAAGGGAGGUGCCUGCUCCAGAGAAGGAAGGCCAGAGGAAGAAGGCCCAGUCCCACUGACAUGGCUCUCGUGCUUUAUCAGAACACAUGGCUUGUCCUGGUCCUCUGAAUUGGCAGGGACCUAUGCUGACCUCACAAAGUCCCUGGGUACACACACUGUGGCGUUUGUGCUUUCUACAUCGGCUAUGAUAUUUACCAAGAUGUUCGUGUCGCUGGGAACAAUCAGACCAUUCUAGAACUAAUCAAAGCGCUACAUUCUAUUAUAAACGCCUGAACAGAUGAGCCUGCUGCCUGGAGUUCUUUUGGGGGCAUAGGGGUCCCCAAAAGGGAGUUCUUGGGUUAUAAAUAUCUCUUCUCUGCAAAGGCUGCUUGCUCUCUCUCUCUCUCUCUCUCUCUCUCUCUCUCCCCCUCUCCCUCCCUCCCUCUCCCCUCUUUCCCCCUCUAUACUGAAACACCCCUGUGUCUAGGAGGGGCUUCUAGUGUAGCCAGAAGAGGCACAAUCUUGCAAGAAAAAGAAAAAAAAACUAUGUCUAGGACCCCAGCUUGUGGGACAGUGCUUCCCACAUUCAGGGUGGGUCUUUCCUCCUCCGUUUAACCUCACUGAAAACUUCACAGACACACCAUGCUUCCAUGGAGAUUCCAAAUCCAAUUAAGUUGACACUUAAGAUUAAGGAGACGAGAGCUUAACCUAUUGAGUUUCUCACUGAUCAUGAACCUUGCUCCUGUCUCCAGUAACACUCUGCAGUGUUACAGUGCCUGGCUGUUUGUGUGAAUUUGGACCCUCAUGUUUGCGUGGCAAGCGCUUUGCAUCUUAAGCCAUGUCCCAGCUCCAGCCUCCUGGCUGCCUUCCACUCUUGUCUCCUGUGUCACAGCUGAGUGCAUCUAUGAUUUGAAUGAUGAUCACAUGAGCUACCGAGAGGACAGGCACGUGCAACAGGCACGUGCCACCAUUUUUCUAAGGAUGUUUGAAGACAGGCUGUGGAAUGUUGUCUCCCUAUUGUGGCAGCCAUUACCACCUUCAUCAGGGCAGCUGUGACUACUCUCAAGAGACCCUCAAGAUUUGACCUGCUGACCUUUUUCUCAUUGAAGGAGGGGCCGGGGAGGGUUAUUAAACCCUUAGUUGAGAUUUCA